rnacentral:lncRNA from 1 species
GUAACGGCGUCCAACGGGAACUGCAGCGGACCGGCGAGUCCUGUUACAACUGUACACACAGCCCCCUGCGUUCCUCAGAACGUGACCGGCCACGCCGCGUGUGGAUCAGGAUCCCUGGUGGCGUCCUGGACUGGGGCCCUGGGGGCCAGCAGCUACACUGCUACUGUAUCAGCUUCAGGCGGGGUCCCUCAGGUCUGUGUGACGUCCAACCUGUCGUGCGUGUUCAGCGGACUGCAGUGUGCCACCCUGUACAGUCUCAGUGUAGCAUCCCAAAACGAGAUCUGCAAUAGCUCCAGCAGUCCUGCCACCACCAUCAGGACAGGUCCCUGCGACCCCCAGAAUGUAACAGCCUCUCUACAGUGCAGCAGCGGCGCUGCCACAGUGACGUGGAGCGCCAGUGAUGGUGCGAGCGGGUACACAGUGCUGGCACAAACAGACGGGGGGCAAACACUCGCA